GAUGAACGCUGGCGGAGUGCCUAACACAUGCAAGUCGAGCGGCAGCGCGAGUAGUUUACUACUUGGCGGCGAGCGGCGGACGGCUGAGUAACGCGUGGGAACAUGCCCCAAAGUGAGGAAUAACUGCCCGAAAGGGUAGCUAAUGCCGCAUAUGAUCUUCGGAUUAAAGGAUUUAUCCGCUUUGGGAGUGGCCUGCGUACGAUUAGAUAGUUGGUGAGGUAAUGGCUCACCAAGUCUACGAUCGUUAACUGGUUUGAGAGGAUGAUCAGUCAGACUGGAACUGAGACACGGUCCAGACUCCUACGGGAGGCAGCAGUGAGGAAUCUUCCACAAUGGACGAAAGUCUGAUGGAGCAACUCCGCGUGCAGGAUGAAGGCCUUCGGGUCGUAAACUGCUUUAUGAGUGAAGAAUAUGACGGUAACUCAUGAAUAAGGGUCGGCUAACUACGUG
rnacentral:rRNA from 1 species